rnacentral:rRNA from 1 species
GAUGAACGCUAGCGGCAGGCUUAACACAUGCAAGUCGAGGGGCAGCAUGAGACGGAGAUUCGUCGAAGUCUUGAUGGCGACCGGCGCAAGGGUGCGUAACGCGUGGGCAACCUGCCCUGCAGACUGGGAUAACUUCGGGAAACCGGGGCUAAUACCGGAUAACACCGAAAACCGCAUGGUUUUCGGUUGAAAGGCGGCUUUUAGCUGUCACUGCAGGAUGGGCCCGCGGCGCAUUAGCUAGUUGGUGAGGUAACGGCUCACCAAGGCGACGAUGCGUAGCCGACCUGAGAGGGUGACCGGCCACACUGGGACUGAGACACGGCCCAG